GAUGAACGCUGGCGGCGUGCCUAAUACAUGCAAGUUGAGCGAAUGGAUUAAGAGCUUGCUCUUAUGAAGUUAGCGGCGGACGGGUGAGUAACACGUGGGUAACCUGCCCAUAAGACUGGGAUAACUCCGGGAAACCGGGGCUAAUACCGGAUAACAUUUUGAACCGCAUGGAUCGAAAUUGAAAGGCGGCGUCGGCUGUCACUAAUGGAUGCAGCCGCGUCGCAUUAGAUAGUUGGUGAGGUAACGGCUCACCAAGGCAACGAUGCGUAGCCGGCCUGAGAGGGUGAUCGGCCACACUGGGACUGAGACACGGCCCAGACUCCUACGGGAGGCAGCAGUAGGGAAUCUUCCGCAAUGGACGAAAGUCUGACGGAGCAACGCCGCGUGAGUGAUGAAGGCUUUCGGGUCGUAAAACUCUGUUGUUAGGGAAGAACAAGUGCUAGUUGAAUAAGCUGGCACCUUGACGGUACCUAACCAGAAAGCCACGGCUAACUACGUGCCAGCCGCCGCAGUAA
rnacentral:rRNA from 1 species